CGUGUCGGGGGAGUUAAUCGAGAGAGGAAGCGGGGGAGGGGGGGCUGCAGGGAGCGGAGACAGACAAAGCGGACGCGGUAUCUCAGCCAUUAGCGAGCAGCUGCAACCCUCGGGGACCGCGAGUCAAACAAGUUUUCCCGGGUUGGAGUGUCUGCGCCUCUCUGGCCCAGCCCGAUUAAUGGACAGCCCUGGAGCUUAGGGACCCUCGGCAGGGGAGUGCAGCCCCCGGCUCUGCGCUGCGCGCUUGGGAAGCCCGCGAGAUGCUCUGGAAAGGGUGGCGAGGGGCGAGCUAGGGGUCCGCGACACGCGCCCUGGGCGUGCACAGCCUGCACGCUGGGUGGGAUACCUGGCAGGAGAACGGUGGUGAGGAAAGGGGCACAAGUUUGGAUACUGGGGACACUGCAGCUUGGUUAAAGCCGGACCGUAGGGUUUGUCGCUGGCAGGGGGCCAGACAGACCCCAGCCUCGGGCAUUCUGGCCGUGCCCUCCUUCCCCACCCGCGGCGAGCAGCGGCAGCCGGGGCUGGACUCUGUCCCACGCCGCGGCGGGCAGCAGCAGCCCCAGGCUGUCCGGCGGGGCUCGCCCACGUGUUUCGCAGCCAAUCGCUGCAGCCGCUUGAUUCAAAGCGAACCGCUCAAAGGAGCGGCCUCGCUGCCUCCCUCUCGCUAGAGAUAAAGCCCGGAUCGCCCUCUCAGACUGGGCCCUUCCUGUUUUUUAUCGCAUGAUUGUGAUAGUUUGGAGUUCAGCAAAGAAAUGGCCCGGCACACACAUGUUUGACGCACUGCAUGCCAGGAAAAAGGAAGUUUUUUGCAGAGUCUCAGCUCAGACACUGCUUCACAAAGCCAGAGAGGCUGAAUCAAUUCACGCUAAGAACCCGGUGCGGUGAUUGUGAGAUCUGCGAGGUGAAGAGAGAAGUGCUGUGAGCAGACUCUGUCCUGAAGGAGACUUGGAGAAAAUCAGCGAAGAGCAAACGAAUAGAAACGCUGUGGACACCAGAGAUAGGAAGGAAAGAUGGGCAAGUCUUAUAUAUGUGCAGGAAGAACUCUCUAGACGAGCCUGUGACCAAACCGGACAACGAUAGACAUUGCAGAUAUCUGAGUCACCAGCAACUCGAGAAAUGCUACAGACAACCAUGUUAUUCAAUGGCCACCACCUCACUCAAGAUGUUAGACCAGUCCUGUACACUCCUGGGAGCUGGUCUUCGCCUCUGCCUUGUGACACCAAACCAAGUGUCAAAUUCAUGCUGAGAAGUGGACACCCAGCCAUGGGCGACAUCCCCCAGCUGUACUUAUGUACUGGGAUCAGCACCCGUGGAAGAAAAGAGAGGGAAGCAGGACGGGCAGAAGGAGGAGCAGAGCGGAGAUGCGGUCUCAGUCAAGGCCCUGGCCUACUCCGUGUGGAGCUCUGAAGUGGAAAUGACCCCGCAGAAUUGUUUCCAGCAAAAGCGAGAGGCCAGGUUGAUAGGGCUGCGUUACCAGCUGCCGAAUGCAGGCUACCCGGGAAAGGCGCCGUGGCCUUGGCCAAGGUGGCAUUCUCCGAGAGGCAGUUCUGCAGAGGGCUGACAGCUGAGUGCCUCCUGCUGCCAGCACCCCCCAGCAGCUGGGGGAAGAAGUCCUUCACGCUCACAGGGCGACAGCGCUGAGGGGCUCAGUGCAGUGCCCACUUCGACACCUCGCACUAACAAAGAUACACAAAGCUGGGAAAAUGAGACAUCAGGUUUUAUCAACCAUCCCCUUACUUUCAAAAAGAGGGUUAAUUUUUUUAAAAAAUCUGGCUAUUUAUUAAAAAGACAAGGAUAAGGAAAAAGUAGAUAAUCAAUAUAAGAAGUUAUCAGCAUUAUAUAAGCAUUUUUCUCUCUGGGGACAAAAAGAGGUCUUAAUUGAUAGUUUUCUAAUUUUUAAUUUGCCACCUUCUGCAUCUAUGCCUUCUAAACUCCAUUUGCAUUAAAUAUCUAUUAUGAUCAACCUUGAGAGUAUUCUUAAAAUUGUAUCCAAAUUGGCUUGGUCCGAUUUUAAAAUUUCAAUUGCUUCCUACAUCUAUUAUAUGUGCGAGCACUUUUCAUAUAUUUUGUGAAUUAAAUUGGGUUAUAGUAUGACUUUUAAAUUUCAAAUUCCAAUUGUUCAUUGCUGAUAUAGAAUACAAUGGACUUUUGUAUUAUGACUUUUAAGGGAAGGUUUUGUGUGAAAGUGUACUUGUGUCCUUUCAUUGCUAAGCUCCACCAUCGUAUUGAACUCCUCUAUUCAGGGUUGUUAUAGCUGGAGAAUUCAUUUUUCCUUUGAGACUCUGUCACCUUAUACAGCCCCAAGUGACAUUGCAAGGGGUAGACAGUUUAUUGGCUGCUUACAGGACUGCAGAGAGACACAUUUGAGUCACUGUUCCUUGCUAUUACUCUAUAAAGUCUGGUCAUUAAUAAAUCAAGCAAUCAGUCUAA